rnacentral:snRNA from 1 species
GAAUGUGAGGGCGAUCUGGCUGCGACAUCUGUCACCUCAUUGAUCGCCGGGGUUGAUUCGGCUGAUCUGGGUGGCUAGGCAGGUGUCCCCUUCCUCCCUCGCCUCUCCAUGUGCGUCCUCGCGAAGCUUCAUGCUAGGUCGUUCGUUCGAAGAGGACGACCUUCCCCAGUAGAGUAGGACCAGUCUUCGGUCAAGGGUAUACGGGUAGCUGUGCUCCCCUGCUAGAACCUCCAAACAGGCUCUCAAGAUUAGCACCCUAAAGACAGAGAUAAGUAUAUCUCUGUGAGUUCAAGGCCAACCUGGUCUCCAUGUUAACUUCCUGG